UACAGAGGGGGCAAGCGUUUGUUCGGAAUUACUGGGCGUAAAGGGCGCGUAGGCGGCCCGCUAAGUCGAACGUGAAAUCCCCGGGCUCAACCCGGGAACUGCGUCCGAUACUGGCAGGCUUGAAUCCGGGAGAGGGAUGCGGAAUUCCAGGUGUAGCGGUGAAAUGCGUAGAGAUCGGGAGGAACAUCAGUGGCGAAGGCGGCCAUCUGGAUCAACACUGACGCUGAGGCACGAAAGCGUGGGGAGCAAACAGG
rnacentral:rRNA from 1 species